GCGCUGCAGUCAGCGUGGCCACUAUUCAGGGUGCAGGGCCCGGGGCCGGGGCGGCGUGCGCGUGCGUGAGUGCGUGCGCGCCCGUGCACGGCGCCGCUGUCUGUGGGUUGGCUGGUUAUUUUGCAAGCGGGAGGGGCUGUGCGCGCUCCUGUCUCCGGCCUCUGUUCCCCACCCCCCUUUCCCGGUCAAAGUCUCUCCUUCGGAAAAAUGUCGGACACGGCAGUCGCUGACACUCGGCGCCUUAACUCCAAGCCGCAGGACCUGACCGACGCUUACGGACCGCCAAGUAACUUCCUGGAGAUCGACAUCUUUAAUCCUCAGACGGUGGGCGUGGGCCGCGCGCGCUUCACCACCUAUGAGGUUCGCAUGCGGACAAACCUACCUAUCUUCAAGCUGAAGGAGUCCUGUGUACGGCGGCGCUACAGUGACUUUGAGUGGCUGAAGAAUGAGCUGGAGCGAGAUAGUAAGAUUGUAGUACCACCACUGCCUGGAAAAGCCUUGAAACGGCAGCUCCCUUUCCGAGGAGAUGAAGGGAUCUUUGAAGAGUCUUUCAUUGAAGAAAGGAGGCAGGGCCUUGAACAGUUUAUUAACAAAAUUGCUGGGCACCCACUGGCUCAGAACGAACGCUGCCUACACAUGUUCCUGCAGGAGGAGGCAAUUGACAGGAACUACGUCCCUGGGAAGGACCAUUUGCAACUCACAAUAUACAGAGGACUAUCAAUCAUCAGAAAAAAAGAACACAAAGAAGCUGUUGCUUGUAUAGCCCUCUGUCACUAGUGACCUGGGAUAUUGAGCUCUUAGGCUUUCAGAAUUCCAGUUUAUGAGGCAAUCUGUGUCAUUCUGGUUUAGCCAGCAGUUUACAGAAGUUUCAGCGUCAGAACCUCUUGGAGAUCAGGCUACACUAAGUGAAAAUUAGGCCCAUUUGAAGAAAGGUAAUUUCCUUUGUUUCCUGAGUUUGUGAGAAAUUAGGUCCUCUAUACUUUCUGUGAUGGUUAAUUUUAGGCGUCAACUUGACUGGAUUAAGGAAUACUUAGAAACCUGGAAAAGCAUUAUUUUAGGGUUUGUCUGUGAGAGUGUUUCCAGAAGAGAUUAUCAUGUGAGUCUGAAUGGACUGGGUAGGGAAGAUCUGCCCUCAAUGUGGUUGGGCACCAUUCAAUCUGCUAGGGACCUGUAGAGAACAAAAAAUGGGGAAAAGGUGAAUAUGUUGAUCUAUCUGUUGGAGCUGGGAUACACUUAUCUCCUGCCUUGGACAACAGACACCAGGCUCCCCACUCUUUGGACUCUAGGACUUAAUACCAGUGGCUCCCCCAACUCGUGCCAGGUUCUCAGGCCUUUGUCCUUGGACUGAGAGUUAUACCAUCAGCUUCCCCACUUCUCUCUUUUUUUUUUAUUUCAGCAUAUUACGGGGGUACAAAA